rnacentral:rRNA from 1 species
GAUGAACGCUGGCGGCGUGCCUAAUACAUGCAAGUCGAGCGAACAGAUGAGGAGCUUGCUCCUCUGACGUUAGCGGCGGACGGGUGAGUAACACGUGGAUAACCUACCUAUAAGACUGGGAUAACUUCGGGAAACCGGAGCUAAUACCGGAUAAUAUAUUGAACCGCAUGGUUCAAUAGUGAAAGACGGUUUUGCUGUCACUUAUAGAUGGAUCCGCGCCGCAUUAGCUAGUUGGUAAGGUAACGGCUUACCAAGGCAACGAUGCGUAGCCGACCUGAUAGGGUGAUCGGCCACACUGGAACUGAGACACGGUCCAGACUCCUACGGGAGGCAGCAGUAGGGAAUCUUCCGCAAUGGGCGAAAGCCUGACGGAGCAACGCCGCGUGAGUGAUGAAGGUCUUCGGAUCGUAAAACUCUGUUAUUAGGAAAGAACAAAUGUGUAAGUAACUAUGCACGUCUUGACGGUACCUAAUCAGAAAGCCACGGCUAACUACGUG